rnacentral:rRNA from 1 species
UACGGGGGGGCAAGCGUUGUUCGGAAUUACUGGGCGUAAAGGGUUUGUAGGUGGCCCGCUAAGUCACACGUGAAAUCCCUCAGCUUAACUGGGGAACUGCGUGUGAGACUGGCAGGCUCGAGGGCAGGAGAGGAACGCGGAAUUCCAGGUGUAGCGGUGAAAUGCGUAGAUAUCUGGAGGAACACCGGUGGCGAAGGCGGCGUUCUGGACUGUCUCUGACACUGAAGAACGAAAGCCAGGGAGCAAACGGG